UUACUUUCGGUAAAAAUAACAGAGGCCCACUAAAUUUCAUCAAGAAAAGUAUAAUCGAUCAAAAGAAAUUGAAUUUAUGCUCGAGAAAGCAAAAGAGCAAAGAAAUCGAUUUCGUUUUUAUACAUGGAUAUGUGCACGUACGUUACAGAUAGAGGAGGAGACACCAACGGCGGGGAAGAGGAAACAAGAUCAGAACUUUCUCCCUGUUGAUAUCUGUCUAUUGUUGGAUAUACGUGUAUAUAGCGGACUGUUUGUACAUGUAUGUAUUUAUCUACUCAUAAUGGUGUUCUUCAAGAAGUGAUAGAUAAUUCAUUUUAGUUUUUACAACAAUUUUUGCUCUCCGGAGACCGAACGUUUCGUGUAAAAGGAUUUCCUAUUCUUUUCUUCUCAUAAAUUAAUAGUUUAAAAAUCCAUCCAAACAUUUAAUUCAAAAAAAUUAAUAAAAUGAAGGCCAAUCGAUGUUCGAGAAACUAACAAACUUUAUAUUUUCGAUCUAAUGUCUGGCUCUUUCGGUCAAACUGAUCCGUGAAAUCCGACUGACACGAGAAUAAAAAACGACUAAGACGAAAAUAAUUUAGAAGCAAGAAUUAAUAAAAAAAUAACAAAGAUGAACGAUAUUAAAUUAUAAUUAGGAUAAGAUUAAGAAAACCAUGGGAAGAAGCAAGGACGGUAGAGUGCUGGAGCAGGAAGGAAUGCCUUUCCAAGAGGAAAAGUAUACGCACCCAUCUUUAUAU
rnacentral:lncRNA from 1 species